GGGACUAUGGCUCAGUGGUAGAGCAGCUGCUUAUCAUACAGAAGGUCCUAGGUUCAAUCCCCACCAUUUGCA
rnacentral:tRNA from 1 species